CAGAGGGCGGUCGAGAGACUCCGCUGACGCCUCAGGACGCAGCGCGGUCGAGCCCCAGGACCCUAAACUCUACGGCCCAGCGGACCCCACCAAGCGAGCUCCCGCAGCAGCGUACGUAAUCUGCCCCAAACGCUGUGGCCCGGACCGCGCACGGCUUCGGGGCGGGACUAUCUGUGACGUCGAGGUGCGCGGCGCAGCGCGCAGCGUCAGCCUUGGCUGGCGGCGACUGUACUUGAUACUCCGUACUCGCCGCGGCGCGGUCUUCUGCAGCAUAGUCAUCCACCGCAAUCUUGGGCGUCGCGUGUUGCCUGACCAUUCCUGAGCCCAGGUGGGAACCUUGGCCGAGGUGAUGGUCUCAAAGUGGAAGAGCUUACUGUUACAGCAACUGUUUGGCAAGAUACCCCGGCCAGGAACAGUUGCUGAACACCCCAGGCCUGCUGAGGUCCCUCAUUGAGUUUCAUGUUCAAGCAAUCUUUGUCCAUGAAACUGGGAGGCGACCUUGUUAGCUGCCAGUUCCUGAUAGCCACCUCUCACCAGUGGCUCCACUCUGUGUCCCUGACCCAGCACAUGGCACAAGAGUACCUGCCAUCCCUCAGUGUUUCUACAGCAGCAAUCCCGAGAUGCCGGAGCUAG
rnacentral:lncRNA from 1 species